AAUGAACCUCCAGAACGAAUUAAGUUCUUAACCCAAGGUACCACUGUAUGUGGACAGAUAGUUUAAGGUUCCAUUUUUUUAAAAAAAAAAUCUGCUAUUUUGUGUGUGUGAUUUUGCUGGUGACAAUGUGUCUGCAUCGUUCUAUUAAAAGAAAAUGUAUGAUCUGUGAUGUGUGACAAAUGUCUUUUUUCCCUAUUGUUUUUUUGUUUGUUUAUUCAUUCAUUUAUAAUAUAUUAGUACAUCCAUUUCACAAUGUUCUUUAUUACCCUUCUACAUUGUUCGACUUCCCCCGCACCUCCCUCCAUGGGUUCCUUUUUUCCCUUAGUUGUGCUACAUAUCCUUUCGCACCUUCUAAUUGAUUUAGCUGCUGUUCAUAUGUCUGAUCCUACUUGGAGAUUUAUAUAACUAUUAGAAUUUUAAAAAUAUUCUCCAAAGUUUUCCCACUCCUCUCUUAUCUUAUCAUCUUGGUUUCUUAUCUUUGCAGUCAGCAUCGCUAGCUCCACAUAUUCUAUCCGGUUAUUCUGCCAAUCCUCUUUUUUGGACUAUUUUUGUCCUUCCACAUUUGUGUGUAAGUUAUUCUGGCCACAGCAGUUGCAUAAAGAAAAAGAUUUAAUUCAUUCUUAGAUAUCUCACCAUCUACUACUGUAUAUCCAAAAGGAACAGAUGCGUGACAAUUUUCAUGAGUGCCUGCAUUGCUGCAUUAUUUGUGUUUGGAGAGUACAGCAUGCAGCACACUUUAGACACAAGGUACCGUGACAAAAUAGGCAUACCCUCACACAUGCUGAUGUAGUCACAUUAUCCUGUGCUGUUACCUCCGUGUAGGAAAGAUGUCACUUGUGAAGCAAUCCUUAAUCUGUUGGUUUAUAUCUAAAGACCACUCUGCACAUUAGAGAUUUUGAAGUUUAUAUGGGUACAUUACCUGAACCUCCUGUAUACCUUAAAGUUUUCAGUGGGUAUACAUCUCUUCCCCUCCCUUUUAUCACAAUUAUCUCUUGGGGCCCCAGUUCAUGGACAUGUGGUCAUGUCUCUGCUUAGCAGCAGGGAUGGGUGUAACUACUUUGGCUGAUACAGGGGGAGACACAAGAUGUCCUCUGCAUGUAGUUGAUGCAUUUACAAUACUUAAAUGACUUUAGCAGUGUUAAAGGUUUUUUGAUGGUUAGAGCAGGUUAUAAUAGUCAUUAAAUAACAUACCAAAUAUUGUUUCCCUUAAAGUAUUUAAAAUUUCAAAAGUUAAUAUAUUUUAUAUAGUUAUUACAUCAUUUAUACAUUUUUCUUUCUUUCAUGAUGCUAUGAUAAUGCUCUUGUUUUAUCUUGUAUUAAAUGUUUGUACCAUGUUUAUAUUUUAAAAUAUAGAAUCAAUUAAAGAAAGCUACCAGAAAAAGAUAGUGGAUUUAUGGUCCUCCCUGCGUGUCAUAAACAAUUUCUAAUAGUGCUUGAUAGUUGAAAUUUGCAGUUUGCUCUUUUUAUAGUGAGAUCCAUUUUCUAGAAAGGGAUCUUUUGCUUUUGAAAUUCAGGGUGACUGUGAGCCAGGCUUUUCACAAGUAUAUUUUAGAAAUCCAGUGGCUCUCAAUAAUAAAUGAGUGGGCUUGGAACAACAGGUAUCCCUUUAUUUAUAUUUACUGCAGUAGAUAUACUGAAGUGUAAGGCAAAAUAAUGUGAUGCAAUAUACCAGAUAUAAAUCUGUUUAUAAUUUCUAUGACAAGCUUUAUGUGUACAAUCUUCAAAUGUAAAGUGAUCAAUUAGCAGGUUGCUGUUAUUCUGGUCACAGCAACAUCUAGCAUGAAGAGGAAAUAAACAAGCCUCCUGCAAGUGACAAGGUGAACAGGCAGAUAUUCAUUUUCAGUAAGGAUGUAGUUGAACAAAGUUGAACUUUCUUCAUAAUGCCCUGACAGGAAAAGUGAUACAUUCCAGAUGUUUUGUGGAACGUUCUAUGUUUGACUUUUUGUUGUUUUUACUGCAAGAGACUAAGACCAACUGAUUUAUUGUGGCAGAAGCUUUCAUGGAAUAGAUUCCACUUUGGCAGAUGAUUAGAUGUAAAUGCUGCAUUUGAUAUACUGUACUUUAGAUUAAGAAAGUUUAUGACACAGCCUUAAAUGUUCCCCAAAAAUCCUUGCUGUUUUGGUAAAAAGAUGACUUGGUCUUGGAGAGGACACCAGUGACAUUAAUUGAAUUAAAUGCCUGUACCUUUAGUUAGUUUUUUGAAUACUGUUGGAAUACUCAACUUCUGUCUGCCAUUAGAUUAGGGGUAGUUAUUUCAUGAUUAAAAACCCUGAGAUGCUAACCUUUAGAACAACUGCCUGAUUCCUUAUUUAGUAAAUCAGUAAGUCUGAGAUUUCCUAGCUAAUAUUGAAUGCAUAUUUAUGGAAGUUAACAUACGGGUAUUAACUGCAUGUAACACUGGGUCAGUCACUUCAGCUCACAGUGGCAGAUGUCGGGAUGGGGUCAAAAAAGAAUCAGAAUCAACACACAAUUGACUUUUAAACCAAAAUGUACUUGGCAGCAAAGAGGAGAGGGAGGCAGAUGAAGACCAGGUGGACUUCCCAUCCUGUGGUCCCACAGUGUCUUCUACCACCAACUGCUUUGUAGGUAGGGUCCAAGAGAGUGGCAAAGUACCAUUUUUAGCACCUGCUCUCUCCCUUCCCUCAAAACAAGACCAUCUGCUGCCAGCUGCAUUGCUGGAAGGAUCCUGAUGGCUUAUAUUUUGCUUGUUUUGUCAUGAUUUUAUUUUCACCAUUGUUAUUUGUAAGCAGCCUUGGAAGGAUUUGUGUUCUGAAAUGUGGGUUAUAAAUAAUAGUAGUAGCUAACUAAAUAGGAUCUGGCAGAAAAACCCUUAAUCUGUUUUAGGGGAGUUGGAUAGCUGAAGAUGGCAGCUGGAGGUGCACAGAGACAGUCCAUGUCAUCUAUGCAUACAGUAUGUGUGUUCUAGCAUUACGUGUGAUUAUGUGACUGCUCCUUUAUUACGAUCUCCGUCAGUUUCUAAACCUCAGCAGCAAUUGUGACAUAUAUAACCAUAACAUGUGGAAACAAGAAUCAAGCAAUACUUUCUUACUUACUUUGCCAAACCUUUGUUAAGCAUUACAAGUAUAGGCCACCAUAAAACAUCCAUAUAUAAAAUUUUAAUAUAUAUAGGAAUAAGCAGCCAUGUAAUAUAGGUAUUGACGAGGAUUUUCAUUGGGAAUCAAGCAAUAGUUUCUAACUGGUAAACAAAAAACCCAAAUACUCAGCAGCUAAAUAGGAAAAUGCGUAAACAUUCCUUUUUCAGUUCCACCAACCAGUACUGUCUAGGGUCUACAGCACUGGAAAGGAAUUUUGUCUCACUUGAAAGAAUCCCCCCCUUUCAUCCGAUCUUUUCUUCAUGAGGUUCUUUUCUUAAAAUUCAUACCCUAUUCCAGGGGUCAGCAACCUAAGGCCCAUGGGCCACAAGCGGCCCAUGGGGGUCGUUUAACAGGCCCAUGGACCUCCGCCACCCGCUCAGUCAGCUCCCGUGCGCCGUGCUAAAGUGGCGCGGAGCAGAGCGGGGACUGCCUUCCGCGAUGUUGGCUGGCUUCCCAUUGGCUGCAGGAAGCUCCUGCAGCCAAUGGGAAGCUGUGCACACCUCCUCUGCGCUGGAAUGAUCGCCGGAAAUAGCAUUUGCACGUGCGUGCGCACACACUCUGGCCCACUGCGGCAUCUGUGGGACCGUGAACUGGCCCAAGCCACAAAAACUUUGCUGACCCCUGCCCUAUUCCUAUCUUUAUUGAUAUACUUUUUAGCUUUAUUUCUAUCUGUUUUCCCAACUUGUGCAAAUUAUUCUUUUCUUUCCAACUUCCCGUAUAUUUUACUUCAUGUAUUUUCUUUUUUUCCCUCUUUGUAGAACUUCAGCCUGCUGGCAGGGACUUCUGCUAGUUCUUACCCUCCUAUUUUUCAUACAUCACCUAGUGCAUAUUGGAAAUUUUAAGUUAAUAAGCUCACUAACCUAAAAUACCAGGCACAGUCUGGACCCAGGGAUUUCAAAGCUCAGCCUUGAGAAGUAAAGCCGUUACUUGCUGGCAAGAAUUUCAGUGUAUUGGGGAUAGGAGGUUCCCUCAAUUAAAAAAGAAUCUAGGGUUUUGUAACACAGACUGUUGCCCUCUUACGCUGGACCAUUAACAGUGCUGUAUCUAUCCAAUAUAAACUUAGCAUACAAUUUUGCUGUAGGUAGAAACUAAUUACUAGAAGGUCUAAUUUAAUUUAAUUAGCUGCUGUGCCAAGUAACCUUAACAUAUCUACAGUUUCAGAGUUUAUGAAGUAUAAUUUUUGUGUACUGUUUCCCGCAGCCUUUUAAAUUAAAAGCUGACAAGGUCUUGGCUGUGUAAUCUAAAACGUUUUUGCAUUAUUUUUAAACUUAUUUGAAAGCUGAUAUGCUGCCUUUUUGACCUGGUUACUGUAUAAGGCUACAUUUUUUGGCAAAUGUUAACAAUCACUUUGUGUGUGGCCGAAAUAAAUUUUUCUAGUAAUAGCAAUUGAGCUUUGGCUUGAAUAAAGGAAUCUUUUUUCACACAAUUUUAUAAUAAGCAUUUUUAUUUGUGGUUUUUCAAAAUAUUGCAAAGUUCCAGUAAAAACAGGACCUAUAUCCACUUCCAAGCAAACCAUUAAGCAUGAAAAGGAGGGUUCUUAACUCUAGAUUUUGUUCAUGGAACCAUGCAGCACAACUUAUUGACCUAGUCUAAAUAAGGAAUAUUGCUCCCAAGGUUUUUGAGCAACACACUGUGUAAUUUUUCAGAUUAUUGUCUGGGGGAAAUGAUUUUGAUUUACACUAUUGGUUAAGUACAAUAUCUUUCUCAGGUAUAAUGCCAGGAAGAUUUCUGUGGUGAGCAUGCUGUUUUUCAGAAACUACAUUUUAAUUCUCAGGGUCACUGCUUGGAUCAGGAGUUGCAACUCUGCUGAGCAGUGAAUUUAGGUUUAUAGCAUUGUGGAAUAUAAUAAUUCUUUUAAGUGAGUUUCUGUUGCAGGGGCUCAGUGCUACUGGUAUUCACACAACCAUUUUAUUUUCCCUGCAAGGUGACUUUCCAGCCAUGCCACAGGAUAUCCUCGUAUAUUUGUUGUGUGAAGUAUAUAGCACAUGGCUGUAUCUUGGAUCAGCACCAUUUGCUGCAGGUUCACAAGCAGUAGGUAACAAUACUAAUUCUAAACCUCCUAGUUCUUUUUUAUGAGAUGAGGAGGAACAAAUCAGAAGUGAUCCUUUGGGAAAUGUUCAUUCUCAAGGUAUAUUGAUAUUUGGUGAAUGUUCCAGAUAUCAUCAGAAUCAGUGUCAUGCUGAAUGUCAUAUCAGUUGUAUCACCUAUUACAUGGAGCUCAUUUUAACGUGUAAAUAAAACAUAAUGUCUUACUUACUUUGUAUGCAAAUUUCUGUUUAGUAUAUUUUAUUCAAUUUUAUUUUACAGUAUUU